GAGAGAUUUUUGCGUGUGAGAGAAUGCCUCUGCCAAGGACACGCUACACAUCCUAAAAACACAAGGACGCACUUGCUACCCAUCCUCUGCCGCCGCCGUCUGCAGCCUCCGAUUCAACGCGUUACGCGCUGCCGGAUAUGCAGGAGCUGGCAGGGCUUCCGAUUCGACGUGCCGCCACCACUUCUGGCGACGCACGAGCCACCCGAGGUCGCGAGCGCGGGGCGCUGCCGCCGCGUUCGCUUCCGAGGGUAGGCGAAGACGCAAAUGUUGCCCGUGACCUCGGCCGUCCUCGCGGCCUUUGCGGGAGUGACGACGUCGUCUCCAUCCUUCACUCCGCCUCAUUGACGUCGGUGCAGGCCUCGAGCUCAAUCCUUCUCCCCAUAGCUUCAGCGAUCUUAGACAGGCAAAGGAUAUGCUCUGCACUGAUAUAAGACGAGAAAUUAUUUCUGUAACACUUGAUCUUGGGUUUGCACUUGCUAACAGAGAAGCAGCCAAAACAAAGCCACGAGCCUUUGUACUGAAUGUAAAUACACUCUGCAGAUGUGCGCCCAUCUUUUAGUGUGAGGAAUUUGCGGCUUACAUUGCUAAUGCUUGAUUCUCGAUAGCAAUGUUAUUUUCCUCCAUGUUGGUCAUGCCAAAAAAGUAUAGAGGGCGAGUCUGCACCAAUCCACCAUGCUCGAGUUAGGGGGAUCACCUACAGUGCUCACCUACAGUGUGAGGGCCAAACCUAUAUUGUAGGUUAAUUCACUUUUGGAUUUUUUAUGGGCUUGAUGACUAACUUAUCCUUAUUUCAUUGCACAAUUUUCAAACCAUAUCAAAAUGUUAGUUAACAGAUUCGCUGGAAUCAUGGUAUCAUUUUACGACAGAUUUAUGUUCUUUCAUACUAUAUGUAGGCAAUUGGUAUGAUUCCUUUUAAGUCGGAAGUGUCAGUGCGGAGCUAGGAGAAAAUACAUACAUUCUAGAAAGUUUGGUUCCCUUUUUAGAAUCAAUUACAUGUCAUUUGGAGAGCAUACAUUGUUUAUAUAUUGUAUUUGUAUAGAACCAGUUCUUUGCAAAUGUGACUAAACUUGAUGCAGACUUGAUCCUGGUGCGACUUUUUUACCCAGGAUAAUAAACCUCUGUUGUUCUUGUGCGGUUGGGGAAUCAUGUACCGGCAUAGUAAAUAUACCAAAUGAUAUUUCAUUGACAAGCCACAUAUAAAUCAAAGUCAAAAUUAGGCAUAUAUUGUGAUGCAAAGGUAAUCUUAUAUUAGUGUUGAUAUUUCUUUUUUUUGCAGCCUCUAUUGCAGUCUGCACCGCUGCAAGAAUGGAAUUAAUUUUGUUAUAUAUAAAUGCUAUAAUAAGUAUUUCAGAGCAUUUUUUUCUGCUGUUGGGCUUUAAUAUUCCAUUCCAUUUCCGAUGGAUAAAAAUGUUUGAGGCUACUUCCAAAUUUAUCCCUUGGUUUCUUACGGUCUAAUGUGUUUGACAGUUUUUCUUUCAGAUUUACCUGUCUUGUUUGUGCAGCAGGUACAAGGUCUCACCAUGUUGAAGGCUACUGCCUGUUCUUCCAUUUUCAUUUUCAUUUUGUUAAUGUAUGUUUACUACCUUAUAAGGACAUGAGGUGACUCGUGGAUUGUAGCGCAUGGGGAGCUUCACGAUUGUUGUGGUUACUUUUUACAC